rnacentral:rRNA from 1 species
UGCCAGCAGCCGCGGUAAUACGGAGGGGGCAAGCGUUGUUCGGAAUUACUGGGCGUAAAGGGCGCGUAGGCGGCUAUAACAGUCAGGCGUGAAAGCCCCGGGCUUAACCUGGGAACUGCGUUUGAUACUGUAUAGCUAGAGAUUGGAAGAGGAGAGUGGAAUUCCAAGUGUAGAGGUGAAAUUCGUAGAUAUUUGGAAGAACACCAGUGGCGAAGGCGGCUCUCUGGUCCACAUCUGACGCUGAGGCGCGAAAGCGUGGGGAGCAAACAGGAUUAGAUA